GAGGUGACCUUUGUACGAUUUUUCUUCUGCGCGCCUCCUAGUCUCGAAGGGCUGAAACCACUCUUAAGAAGUCCUCUCAAGCGUGCUUCGCUCUUUCUCUUUCUCUUUCUCAGUUUCUCCUUAUCGAUUCUUGUGUCUCGUUGCUUUCGUUCUUCAAGAACGAGAAACGGAGGUCGGACCUCCGAAGGCUACAGAGUGAUCGGGGUUGAAGAGAUGGAGGCGAAGAGACUUCAAAGUAGCAACAACAACAACAAAGACAAGAAGCUGAAACGGAAAGAGGUGCUAGAGAAGAAGAGAGCUAUUGAUGAAAUUAUAAAAGCUGCGUAUGCUGAUAAGGACCAUCUAGUUUCGUUUCAACCCUUUCGUCAGUUUGAUCGAAAUGGUCUGUCUGUGUUCUUGGAAUCAGGAUCUGGGGAGCACCUAUCCUCACACAUGAAGCGAUAUAUUCAAAGCCUUCUUAAGGUCAAUAUGGAGGGACCAUAUGGACCAGAAUGGCAUACAGAAGAGAAGGUGAAGCGCAGAGAAAUGGUUGCUCCAGAGGCAUGCUACAUUUUUGUGCGAGCUCCAAAUAUGUGUGUUAAUGAGAUAUCUCAAAGAGAAGAUAUGAGAGUAACUAGUGCACAUUAUAUGGGGGAAGGGGACCCUGUUGUAGGUUUUGUACAAUACCGCUUUAUUGUAGAGGAGGAAGUACCUGUUCUUUAUGUUUAUGAACUGCAGCUGGAGCCUCAGGUGCAAGGGAGGGGAUUAGGGAAGUUUUUAAUGCAACUGAUUGAGCUAAUUGCUCGCAAGAACCACAUGGGUGCUGUGAUGUUAACUGUACAAAAGGCAAAUUCUUUAGCUUUGAAUUUCUACAUGAGUAAGCUAAGAUACAUUAUAUCAACAAUUUCACCAUCAAGAGUUGAUCCGUUGAUUGGAGCUGAAAAGAGUUAUGAGAUUCUUUGUAAAGCAUUUGAUCAUGAAGCCAAAGCCAAAUUAGAGGAUUAACAGGCUAAUGGUUAAUCACACCCAGAAAAGCAACUAUUUUGGAGAAUAACGAUUAUUCAGCCUAGUCAUGGAGUUUCACAAGGGUUGCAUUUCACAAUACUACUUGACUACAUCUACAUGGGGCAACUGCUGGGGCUUGGCAUAGCAGUUAACUAAUCUAUAGGUUUUAGAUACAUGCAGAGAUGAAAUGGUUAAAUAAGAUGGACAGGAUCAUAAAGUGAGAAUCCACAUACAUCAUCCUAUUGAAGGCAGAAUAUUUCUCCGUUAAACAAGGUCAUAAGAUGAUUGAUGUCAUAUCUUUGUAUUGGGUAGAUUGGCCAAAAGCAUCAAUGAAGAGACUGAAAAUUCUCUGGCUGAAAACCUGGGGUAUUCAAGAUUAUACUGGAGAAACAAAAAAUUAAAAAAUUUCCUAUCCAUGAAAGAAUGCUUCUGUCAGAACUGCAGGCACCUUAUGAAUGAAUUAAUCCUUCAUUGAAUACCUAGUUGUUGAAUAAAUGAAAAACAACUGUAGAUCAAAAGAUGAAUUACUAAAAAUUGUAUCCUUUGUUGCUGUCUAAUGAAGAGAGCAGUUUUCUUGGGACU